rnacentral:rRNA from 1 species
CCUACGGGUGGCAGCAGUGAGGAAUAUUGGUCAAUGGGCGCGAGCCUGAACCAGCCAAGUCGCGUGAGGGAGGACGGCCCUACGGGUUGUAAACCUCUUUUGCCGGGGAGCAACGGGCGUCACGUGUGGCGCCACCGAGAGUACCCGGAGAAAAAGCAUCGGCUAACUCCGUGCCAGCAGCCGCGGUAAUACGGGGGAUGCGAGCGUUAUCCGGAUUUAGUGGGUUUAAAGGGAGCGUAGAUGGGUUGUUAAGUCAGUUGUGAAAGUUUGCGGCUCAACCGUAAAAUUGCAAUUGAUACUGGCAGCCUUGAGUACAGUUGAGGUAGGCGGAAUUCGUGGUGUAGCGGUGAAAUGCUUAGAUAUCACGAAGAACUCCGAUUGCGAAGGCAGCUUACUAAGCUGCCACUGACAUUGAUGCUCGAAAGUGUGGGUAUCAAACAGGAUUAGAUACCCCAGUAGUC